UACGUAGGGUGCAAGCGUUGUCCGGAAUUAUUGGGCGUAAAGAGCUCGUAGGCGGUCUGUCGCGUCGGAUGUGAAAACCCAGGGCUCAACCUGGGCCUGCAGUGGGUACGGGCAGACUAGAGUGCGGUAGGGGAGACUGGAAUUCCUGGUGUAGCGGUGAAAUGCGCAGAUAUCAGGAGGAACACCGGUGGCGAAGGCGGGUCUCUGGGCAGUAACUGACGCUGAGGAGCGAAAGCGUGGGGAGCGAACAGG
rnacentral:rRNA from 1 species